AGUCGAGCGAACAGACGAGGAGCUUGCUCCUCUGACGUUAGCGGCGGACGGGUGAGUAACACGUGGAUAACCUACCUAUAAGACUGGGAUAACUUCGGGAAACCGGAGCUAAUACCGGAUAAUAUAUUGAACCGCAUGGUUCAAUAGUGAAAGACGGUUUUGCUGUCACUUAUAGAUGGAUCCGCGCCGCAUUAGCUAGUUGGUAAGGUAACGGCUUACCAAGGCAACGAUGCGUAGCCGACCUGAGAGGGUGAUCGGCCACACUGGAACUGAGACACGGUCCAGACUCCUACGGGAGGCAGCAGUAGGGAAUCUUCCGCAAUGGGCGAAAGCCUGACGGAGCAACGCCGCGUGAGUGAUGAAGGUCUUCGGAUCGUAAAACUCUGUUAUUAGGGAAGAAUAAAUGUGUAAGUAACUAUGCACGUCUUGACGGUACCUAAUCAGAAAGCCACGGCUAACUACGUGCCAGCAGCCGCGGUAAUACGUAGGUGGCAAGCGUUAUCCGGAAUUAUUGGGCGUAAAGCGCGCGUAGGCGGUUUUUUAAGUCUGAUGUGAAAGCCCACGGCUCAACCGUGGAGGGUCAUUGGAAACUGGAAAACUUGAGUGCAGAAGAGGAAAGUGGAAUUCCAUGUGUAGCGGUGAAAUGCGCAGAGAUAUGGAGGAACACCAGUGGCGAAGGCGACU
rnacentral:rRNA from 1 species